AAUACAGAAAUUACAGAGAGAGCACCAGAGGCGAAGGAGAAGGAGGUGGAAAGUUGGAAACUUUGGAGUCGAUCCGAAUUGGUGUGUAUCGAUUCGUAUGGUGAAAGGUAUCCCACUGUAGAAAAGAAAAUGCGUAGAAGAUAUUAUUAAAAUACAAACACAGAAAGGAAGAGGAGGAAUGGCCGUACUCCUUCCUUGUUGGUAUUCAUGAGAAAAGCUUGAGAGAGAGAGAGAGAGAGAGAGAGAGAGAGAGAGAGAGGGAGGGAGGGAGGGGACGCAGCUGCUGCGACUCUGUCGGACGCCGUGGUACUAGCUGAGAGAUAUUAUUAGUAGAGGUAGAGAUUGUUCGACUCCAUAUCGGGUGUAUAUUGGUUGGUCUAAAUGGAUCCGUUGGGUGAAGAGCAAAUAGAUUAUGAAGAUGAGGAAUAUGGAGGGGCUCAUAAGCUUCAGUAUCAGGGAAGUGGAGCCAUCUCUGCGCUUGCAGAUGAAGAACCGAUGGUCGAAGAUGAUGAGUUCGAUGAUCUCUAUAAUGAUGUUAAUGUUGGAGAGGGUUUCAUGCAGAUGCACCGGUCCGAAGCAUCACUCCCAACUGGUGGUGUUGGCAAUGGAGGACUCCAAGCACAGAAAACUGAUGUUCCUGAACCAAGAGUUCAAGCUGGUGUGUCUCAGGACCUGAAAAUUCCUGGGGUUUCAGUUCAAGGGAAGUAUUCUGGUGCUGGGGCCCAGUUUCCAGAACAGAAUCAACCACCAGUGGCGAAGGAGCCAGAACUGGGAUCCACAGAUUAUGUGAGUGGGGCUUCUGGAUCACAGAAGGGGAGGGUUAUGGAGAUGACUCAUGAUCCUCAAGUCAGACAUAUGGCGUUCCAGGGGUCAACAACUAUGCCCCCAAAUGUCGGUGUCGAUUCUUCUGAUAUUACUGGAAAAGGUAAUAGUGAGUUUGUUCCGUCUCUGAAUCCUGCCAGUGCUGGCCCUCCAGGAGCUACACAGAUACUGACCAAUCAAAUGAGUAUCAAGAUAAAUGCUAAUCGUCCAAUGGUUAAUGAAAACCAAAUCCGACCACCAAUUGAGAAUGGUUCGGCCACGCUGUUUGUGGGAGAACUACAUUGGUGGACAACUGAUGCUGAGAUUGAAAGUGUUAUAUCUCAGUAUGGGAGGGUCAAGGAAAUUAAGUUUUUUGACGAGAGGGCCAGUGGUAAAUCCAAAGGUUAUUGUCAGGUUGAGUUUCAUGAUCAAGCUGCUGCCACGGCAUGCAAAGAAGGGAUGGAUGGUUAUGUUUUCAAUGGAAGAGCUUGUGUUGCGGCUUAUGCUUCCCCGCAAACCUUGAAACAGAUGGGAGCUUCUUAUUUGAGCAAAUCCCAAGGUCAGGCUCAGGCUCAGCAACCAGGAAGAAGGCCCAUGAAUGAUGGUGGUGGGAGGGGGGGAGGUGUGAAUUUUCAAGCUGGAGACCCAGGAGGUAGGAAUUUUGGAAGGGGUGGAUGGGGACGAGGUGGACAGGGAGUAAGAGGUCCUGGAGGUGGAGGACCAAUGAGGGGAAGAGGAGGGGUCAUGGGUGCGAAGAACAUGGUUGGGAAUCCUGCUGGUGUUGGAACUGGUGCUAAUGGAGGUGGCUAUGGACAGGGCCUUGGAGGUCCUGGAUUUGGUGGUCCUGUAGGAAUGAUGAAUCCACAGGGUAUGAUGGGUUCUGGAUUUGAUCCAACAUAUAUGGGUCGAGGAGGUGGUUAUGGAGGGUUUCCAGGUCCUGCUUUUCCUGGAAUGCUUCCUCAAUUUCCUGGUGUUAAUACAAUGGGACUUGCCGGGGUGGCUCCUCAUGUAAACCCAGCUUUCUUUGGCAGGGGAAUGGCAACUAAUGGGAUGGGGAUGAUGGGUUCUUCCGGAAUGGAGGGACACCAUGCAGGGAUGUGGAAUGACCCAAGCAUGGGGACCUGGGGAGGAGAAGAACACGGUCGAAGAACUAGGGAGUCAAGUUAUGGUGGUGAUGAUAAUGCUUCUGAGUAUGGAUACGGUGACACAAAUAAUGAGAAAGGACCAAGGUCAAGUGCUGCCUCGAGGGAAAGAGAAAGGGGAUCUGAGCGUGACUGGUCAGGAAACUCUGAGAGGAGGCAUCGUGAUGAUAGGGAACAAGACUAUGAAAGGUCUGAAAGGGGGGAGCAAAGGGAGCAUCGGUACAAGGAAGAAAAAGAUAGUUAUCGAGACCAUCGGCAGAGAGAUCGUGACGGGGGUUAUGAGGAUGACUGGGACAGAGGUCAGUCUUCUUCAAGACCUCGUAGCAGGUCCAAAGCUGUGCCAGAGGAUGAUCAUCGGUCUCGAUCAAGGGAUGUUGAUUAUAAGAGGAGACGAUUGCCAUCUGAGUGACAGAGUUAGAUCAUUACAUUCUAUGGCAGGUCUUUGAGACUGCAGAAUAUAAAUUCUGACUAUUACUAUAUGUAGCUUUUGAUACGGUCAGUGAAUCUGCAUUCUUCUUCUGGGCUUCUACGGGCCUACUGCCUACCAGCAAGCGUCGCUUCUUGAAGGAGAAGGAGUAGAGUGGGCAACUCCUUCAUUUCAUGAUUGAAUCAGCCUGUGCUGGUCACAUGGUGGAAGAUGUGUUACAUGGAUGCGUUGCCAACUAUGCAAAAGAAAAGAGUGUCCUCGAACUAGUGAAAUAUUUAAAGGAGACUUGUCAUUGUGCAUGUAACAACUUAAUGUCUUUGUGUAAUUGUAGACUUCAUGUAUUAGGUCCACUUGUAAUCCCCCCUUCUUUUGUUUCUAUGCCUGUAUUAGGAUUUAGGCUUAGCAACGAGCUUGUAAAAGUCAUGUACAAUGUGCUUAGUUGUACAUGUUCAGCGUGUUGUAAUUGUUGUUGCCUGCGCUGUGCGCUAUAGGGAGUUAGGAUUGAGCCAUUGAUAUGCUGUAACAAGAAGCCACCAUGCUAAAUCGUAAUUAGUCAUAGUGAUAUUUGUACAAACCAGUUUCUGCUGAAGCCACUUCCUGUAAAGAAUCUUACUUCCUGUGUGUAAUAUGUAACUGUGAGUUGUGUUUGGGUUUAGGGGUUGUGAGUAGCAGCUGCGUUGUAAAUGGGUUGGGACGGAAACAGUUGUUAAGACUAGGGUUUGUUUUUCUCUUCAGGGAGACAUAUUCUGUGCCCCUUGUGUACAUUUUUUUGGACGUAGUUUUGUACUUCAGAGAUUUCAUGUUGUCGAUUUCUCAACAAUGUAUCAUUUAGUUAGGUUGUCUGAAAUAGUUGUUUAGACAAGUUGUAUUGUUUCUCAACAAUGUAUUUUACAAAUUUGGUGUAUAGUCAUGUUUAGUGUAUGAGAAGCUGCAUCAUUCUUGAAGAAGGCAUUCACUGGAGGAGAUUUGAUUUACACGUCUUCCUGCCGGCACUACUUUCUUUGCUGUAUCUUGAUUCUGUUAGUAUACAGUAAUUCUGCACAUACCAUGUAGCCCUGCUGCUGUUUGAGCUCUGCCAUUGUAAUUUUCGUUUCAAGCUUCGUAGUUGGCUAUUCAAUUUGGAGUAUUGAAACUCUAGGUGCGAUUCAGAGUUGAUAUAAUAAUGUCACAAGCGGAAAGCCGCAUUUCUUUUCAGAUUAGUCUUUUGAGCUAUAGCUUUUAUCUUCAAGCUCUGUUUGUCAGUACGCAGUAGUUGAGGCCGUUCAUGUCGGUUUUUCUGUUGCGUCAUAGUUCUUAGCUGCAACUGUUAAUUCACAGAUGGUCUUUCA